rnacentral:tmRNA from 1 species
GGGGGCGAAUGGCUUCGACCGGAUGACGGAUAGUCAGGUUGCAUGCCCAGGACGCCGGUUGGCCUGGUUAAAAAUCCGGUAACUAAUUUUAAUUGGCAACUAUCAGUAUGCCAUGGCUGCUUAAUUAGCGGCCCGUUCUUCCAGAUAAUGUCUGCGGAUCUGAUAAGAGCGUCACAAAGCAGGCUUUACCGAGCCGGUUUUUCGGUACGGCAAGGUGAAAACUAACCGAAAUAGUCAAGUUAGCGGCCUGUCGUUUGGCGGUUAACAAGGCGAAAUAGACAAAUAAAUCGACUAAGCAUGUAGAAGCUUGCCUUGAAACAUCUCGGGACGGGGGUUCAAAUCCCCCCGCCUCCAGUA